GUCUUCAGAUAGCAGGCAUGGUCGCUGACAGGCUGCUUCUCCCGUGCCCCAUCAGCCAGGAACGUCUGUAAUGCUGGCAACAACAAUAUGGCCGACUCCUAACUGAGCUGGUAAGCCUUGGACUAUUCCUGUGGGAAGCCGGCCGUCCCCCCGACUGAGCCGUGUGGUGGGCGGGCAGGAGGCCACACCUAACAGCUGGCCCUGGCAGGCUUCUCUUCAGCACCAGUGGAGGAACCCUCAUCUCCCCUGACUGGGUCCUUACUGCUGCCCACUGCAUCAAG